CUUUAAAAUUUACCAAAAAAUAUUUUUAUGUAUAUUUUUUUCCAAAAUUUUUAAUUAAUAGGAAUUAACAUGCAUACAAUUUUUUUCUUUCUUUUUUUAAAUUAUGAUAUCUGUUCUAAAAGCACUUAUCACAUGGAGGGACGCAUGUUUGGAGAUAACGAACACGUAUAAAAAUUGAUAUUUGUGAGAAAGGUAUUCUUUCUCAUACGAUUUUACAUUUGUAAAUAAUUAAGUAAUUAUUAUAAUUUUACAUUUUCAUUUCUAUACCACGUAAUAAUGUCAAAAAAAGUGAAGUUAUUUUUUCUUAAUUUAUUUGAAUAUUACACUCCAAAAAUAGUUCUAAUACGAAAUAUUAAAGUUGGUGUUUUGUACAGAAUUGUUCAGUUAGCUAUCAUUUCUUAUAUUAUUGGGUAUGCUAUAAUUUGGAAUAAAGGUUAUCAGGAAUUUAGCACAAUUGAAAGUUCUGUUACAACAAAAGUAAAAGGAGUAGUACUUACCAAUUUCUCUCAAAGGGAAUUCAAUCCACAAAUACAGAAUAUUGAUGUAUAUCGCAGAAUAUGGGAUACAGCUGACUAUGUUGUUCCACCAUCAGAAAAUAAUGCAUUUUUUGUCAUAACAAACAUAGUGAUCACCUCAAAUCAGACCCAGGGCAAAUGUCCAGAGGAUCCAGAGGUAGGCACUUUGUGUCAGUCUGAUUCAGACUGCCGUCAAGGCUUGUCUUUCAUCACAGGAAAUGGUGUCCAGACUGGAAAAUGUGUAAAAUCAGAUAUAAAUAAAACUUUAAAUGUAUGUGAAAUAUUUGCUUGGUGUCCUGUUGAAAGAGAUAUCAAUCCACUGAAAGGGAAGCGAGCUUUAUUAGCAGCUUCAAAGAAAUUUACUGUGCUCAUUAAAAAUUUUGUUGAUUUUCCCAAGUUUAAAAUUAAAAGGAGAAAUAUUCCUGAUUUUAAAGAUGUGGAUACCUUGAAACGCUGCAUUUAUGAUCCAGUAAAAAACCCACUCUGUCCAAUUUUUGUGCUAGAGGAUAUUGUUCCAGGAGAUUAUAAUGACAUGGCUGUUAAAGGGGCAGCAAUUGCUAUAAUUAUCAAAUGGGACUGUAAUUUUGACUUUGACGCUUCCAAAUGUUUUCCAACAUACAUAUUUAGAAGGUUAGAUGAGAAAUUUGAUAUUGCUCCAGGUUUGAAUUUUAGGUUUGCUCAUUAUUAUGGAGAUUCUGAAAGAACUCUUUAUAAAGCAUAUGGUAUUAAAUUCCUUAUCAUGGCUCAAGGGCGAGGAGGAAAAUUCAGCAUUGUUCCAUUGCUCCUAAAUAUUGGAUCUGGUCUUGGACUUUUAGCAGUGGCUACAAUAUUAUGUGAUAUUGUUGUACUUUAUGUGUUGAAAAAAAAAGAAGUUUAUAAAGCAAUAAAAUUUGAGAGUGUGGUCGAAAAUAAUAUCAAUGACGAAAAGUGCAAAUGUGCAUAUAUCGUUGAGGCUGGGAAGUUCUUUUGCAAGUCUCUGUCGAGGGUUUUUCACUGCUAAGCCAAAAUUGAUGAAAUUACAGAAAGAUGAAUGUGUUGUUUAAUAAAGUUCUGUAGAAUGUAUGUGUGAAUAACCUGUCUUCACUUAAGAAAAAAGGAGAUGAUUUUGAACGUACUGAAGAAAGUGUUCACUUCAAAAGUGAUACUUUUGAUAAUGAUUAAAAUAUAUUUAUUAUAAUAAGAUGAGAAUGACAUUUUUACCAUAUCAGUCUUUGAUAUAAAAUGUAUCAAGAAUGCAAACUGUCAUGUUUAAUUUAAAAAAACGGUGUAAACUUUUUAUAAAUUUUAUUUUUAACUAUUUUUUUAUGAAAGUAGUAAAGGUCUGCAUUUUUAAUGCAAGUAAUUAUUGUUAAUAUUAAAGUAUUAAUUAUCUUUUUAUCAUUUUAAAAUUGUGAAAUUUAAUUUAGUGUUAGCAUUUUAAGGUAUGUUUAGUAUUGAAAGCAGUAACUAUUUAUCAUAAUUUCAUUUAAGUAACAUUAAUUCAGGAACAUAUUUUUCUACAAUGUUCAAUUUUAAUUCAUAGGGAAAUUUUAUAUUCUCAGUUAUGCAAUUUUUAUAUCUUUCAAGCAGUUUGUCCUAACAGAAAUAAAAGUUCAAAUUGUCAACAAAAUUAUCAACAAUUAGAAGUGUUACCCUUCUAACUGCUAGUGAUUAUGAAUUUACAAGACAUAUCCUCUUUUCUCAUUAUUCCGUGUUACUAUCUUUUACUUGUUAAUUUUAUAUGAAUGUUAUUUGUUACUUUUGUAUACAGAUUUGGUAACAUCCAUUUUUUGUUAUUAUAUUGAAACAGUGUAAUUCUCUAUGGAUAUCUUCUUUUCCUAUUUUAAAAUAUCUUUUAAAUGUAUGAUUGUUUCUAAUGCUAGGGAUUUAUCAAAUCAUGUGCAUGUCUAAAUGUACAUUAUCUGUAAUAACAGAAAUACACUGUAAACUGUGCAUAAACUAACCUUACCUAUAAGGUUUUACAACAUUGUAGAUCAUGUUUCUAGUACUCAAUAUAGCUGCCAUCUUUUAUGACAUAUUUUCUGUGUGCUGGUUUUCAAUUCUUUGAGAGCAUUCCUAAAUUGCUAUUCUGCUUUUUAUGCUACUGAAAUUUGAAUGAAACAUUUUGAGGCAUAUUUAUUUCCAACAAUUUUGCUUAGUUCGGUUAUGUAACUAGGUUCCCUAAUGUAUUGGUAAUUAGGUCCUCUAUUUCAUAACAUAUAUGCAAUGAAGCACUGAAAACAAUUUCCCUGUUAAUGUAAAACAUCACAGGUAGGAAACAGCUGUGCCAGCUCCAGGCAUAGAUUAUGUAGCAGCUGCUUAGGGCACUGAUUUUUCAGAGCAUGUCAGCUAAAUUAUUUUUAUGGCAGCAAGAAAGUAAAGGUACAUUUAACUUUGAAUUAUUAAUAUAUUUAAUUUACAGAGGUUUGAUAAACUGUACUGAUGACCUAUGAUGUUAAAUAUGCUGAAGCUAGAUUAGACAUGCUGUUCAAACUGGCCUGGAAGGACAUAAUUCUAGAAAAUAUUGCCUAUUAUAUUUCACAUUUGUAAGUGUAAUUUGCAUAUGAGAAUGCACUUUGAUGAGUGGGCAACUAUUCUGACAUGAUCAAAUCAGGUGAAUUUAGUAGUCUUUAGCCCUUCUGAACAGCUCUUUUAAAAGUUAUCUUGUUGAAAAUAUUGUGGCUUCAAACAAUUGCCUGAAAAAUGUAUAAGUCUAGCAUUUAUAUGAAGAUUAUUAAUAGCAUGUAUACAACUAAAAUUGACAUUUAAAUUUGCUCAAGGACUUUAGAAAACCAUUCUCAAUUUUAAUUAUUGGGAUUUAUACUGGUCAGAUGUAUAUGAUAUAUUUGUUUAGUAUACUUAAGGGGAAAAAAAAUCUGUGAUAAAUUUUUUACGUCUUUUCUUAGUACCUGAAAAAUUGUAAUCGUAUUUUAAAUACCAGUGAUAUUUCUUUUUAUAUUAAUAAAUUACUAUUAUCUGUUCUAGUUAACGUGUUAAACUGUACUAAAAGUUCCUUUUAAUACUGAAUGUUAUACUUAAUGAGAGAAAGAAACUAAAGUGACUUUGGAAUUAUGCAAAAUGACUUGUAUAUACAUUUUCCUAUGUGCCUUAACAAAAUAUUAUUGUGGAAUAACUUUGUGAUACUUUUUGAUAAUUUGUUUUCAUAUUGUAUUAGAUAUUAACUUUAUCUGUGCAUGUGUAUUUGUAUGGUCAUUUGUAUAUAUAUAUAAUAAUUGAAAGCUAUGAGACAUAUUUUUAGAAUGAACUGUUAAUUCUAGUCUACUCUAGUCAGUCAGUAUAAAUAUAUAUUCUGUUUAAUUAUCCUGUGGCCGUAACAAAUGAAAAUUGCUGUCUUGUAUUGCCGUGUAAUAAUUUAUUUUUGGUGCAGAAAUAGCAGAAACAUCUUAAAAUCAGAUUAAAUUUUUAAAUUGUAUUAAUUAAAAAAUGAGCAAGCACUGUAUUAAUUAAAAAAUGAGCAAGCGUUUUGGGAGCGGGAUAGAGAACAAUUUGGAAAUUUUUCUUGUUUCUCAGAGUAAAUUGUUGUUUUUAAUAACACAUUAAAUAUUUUCUGUUGUAAUUGAAAUAUUUUCUGUUGUUUGUAAUUGAAAGGUCACUUAUAAGAACUGUGUUGUCCAUUAGAAACUAAACUACUGCUUUUUUUGUCUGAGAACAGUGUAUUGUCUAAUAUAUCAGAUGGUUUCAUGUAUAAUAUGAUCAUUCAUUUUUGAAUACAGAAGAAAUAGGACAGCCUGACAUCUAGAAGCUUAAUAUUUUGAACUAAAUUUAUAUAUAUGGUCAUACAUCUUUAAGAAAGAUCGUUAACUUAUCUGACUACUAUACUAUGUGAUAACACCAAAUAAAUAUAUUUUCUGGUAGUGUAUAGUUAAAUUUCAGGGAUUCCCAACGGGGUCAAUGAAAUUGUUAAAAGGGUCAGUGAUGAUCAAGGAGUGAUUGGGUGUGAUGAUAGUUGAAUACAGACAGGAAAUCGGUUGUCAUAAUCAAGAUCCCAUCGAUUACAAAAAAUUGGUAGUUAAUUAUUUAUUGAUAUAAAGCUAUACCGUACCAAUAAGUGAAGUCUUAUUCAAAAUGCAUAGAUAUGCUAAGCAUUGGAAUUGAAAAAUCCUCCAGUAAAAAGAUCCCCAAAUGAAAGUCAUUACCAGACUUUUCCUUCUUAUUACCUGUAGUCUAUAAUUUUAAAAUAUCAAAUUUAUUCUCUGCUGCACAGUUCGACUGAUAAUCAUGGGAUCAAUAACCGCAGAAAAAAAUGUCAAGUUGCUUUAUUUUUUCCCGCACUUCAUUUUCGUUCUAUGUGGUUCACUUCAUGAAAAGUAAGUGAAAGGAGUUGAACUUCAACUUCAAGCGACAAUAAGAAAAUAAUUUCCAUUCGGUGAUGAUGACGUGAGUUACGAUUGCAAAUGGAGAGGCUGGUAACGAUUUUGAAGUGCCUGUUUUAAAGUAUAAGACUAAAGUAGGCAGGCUUCAGUGAAGUCAAUAAUUUACUGGGAAAAAUCAGAAACAGUUGAAUAUUUUUGAACAAGCUAGUUGAAAAAUUAAGUUAAGCAAUUUUAUGUCAAAUAUUAAAAAAGAAAAAAAAAGCAUCAAUACAUCAAGCACAGUCAUCACAUAAAUUAUAAUCAAACUUUUGUGCAGUGAGAAUGUAUGUUUUGUUUCUGAAAACUUGUGUUUGUAAAAUUGAAAAUAAUGUUACAAAAUAUGAUAAAACAUGAAUCUGAUAAACCAUU